AAAAAGAAGCCAUGCAGACUGGUGGUUUGCCUUGCUGUCCUGACAGUAAUAAGGAAUCAUCAAGGAGGAGAACAAGAGAAUGCACCUUACCUAAGAGCAACAAAUAUAUUUGGCUAGAAGAACCUCCCGCAAUACACACUAAGAGCAUCAGCGAAGAGGAACAGCACUGCUACAGCUGAAAAAUCUCCAAAACUUCUGGAUUGGAUGGAGAAUUCAUGAUCAACGAAAUGCUGCAGAAGUGAGCAAAUAAACAGAAUUUGUAUAACUUACUGUAAAAAAACACCAGUAUUUGUGUGUUUACAUGAAAAGAAGCAGCUGGAUACAAGAG